rnacentral:rRNA from 1 species
AGUGAACGCUGGCGGUAGGCCUAACACAUGCAAGUCGAACGGCAGCACAGUAAGAGCUUGCUCUUACGGGUGGCGAGUGGCGGACGGGUGAGGAAUACAUCGGAAUCUACUUUUUCGUGGGGGAUAACGUAGGGAAACUUACGCUAAUACCGCAUACGACCUACGGGUGAAAGCAGGGGAUCUUCGGACCUUGCGCGAUUGAAUGAGCCGAUGUCGGAUUAGCUAGUUGGCGGGGUAAAGGCCCACCAAGGCGACGAUCCGUAGCUGGUCUGAGAGGAUGAUCAGCCACACUGGAACUGAGACACGGUCCAGACUCCUACGGUAGGCAGCAGUGGGGAAUAUUGGACAAUGGGCGCAAGCCUGAUCCAGCCAUACCGCGUGGGUGAAGAAGGCCUUCGGGUUGGAAAGCCCUUUUGUUGGGAAAGAAAAGCAGCAGGUUAAUACCCCGCUGUUCUGACGGUACCCAAAGAAUAAGCACCGGCUAACUUCGUG